UACGUAGGGUGCGAGCGUUAAUCGGAAUUACUGGGCGUAAAGCGUGCGCAGGCGGUUUUGUAAGGCAGAUGUGAAAGCCCCGGGCUUAACCUGGGAAUGGCAUUUGGGACUGCAAGGCUGGAGUGUGGCAGAGGAGACUGGAAUUCCUGGUGUAGCAGUGAAAUGCGUAGAUAUCAGGAGGAAUACCGAUGGCGAAGGCAGGUCUCUGGGCUGACACUGACGCUCAUGCACGAAAGCGUGGGGAGCAAACAGG
rnacentral:rRNA from 1 species